rnacentral:rRNA from 1 species
CAGCAGCCGCGGGAAUACGGAGGGGGCUAGCGUUGUUCGGAAUUACUGGGCGUAAAGCGCACGUAGGCGGCUUGGUAAGUUAGAGGUGAAAGCCCGGAGCUCAACUCCGGAAUUGCCUUUAAGACUGCCGAGCUAGCAGGUGAGAGAGGUAAGUGGAAUUCCGAGUGUAGAGGUGAAAUUCGUAGAUAUUCGGAAGAACACCAGUGGCGAAGGCGGCUUACUGGCUCAUACUGGACGCUGAGGUGCGAAAGCGUGGGGAGCAAACAGGAUUAGAUACUCCUGUAGUCCCUGUCUCUUAUAU